GGUGGCUCAGUGGUAGAGUGCUUGCCUUGCAUGCAUGAGGCUCUCGGUUCAAUUCCCCAGCACCA
rfam:Dipodomys ordii contig_51902, whole genome shotgun sequence.